rnacentral:rRNA from 1 species
CAAUGCGAGCAAUCGUGAUAAGGGAACUCCGAGUGCCCGUAAAAUCGGGCUGUCCGCCAGUGUAAAUAACUGGUGAAGAAAGGGCCGGGCAAGACCGGUGCCAGCCGCCGCGGUAAUACCGGCGGCUCGAGUGGUGGCCACUAUUACUGGGCUUAAAGCGUUCGUAGCUGGUCUGUUAAGUCUCUGGGGAAAUCUUCCGGCUUAACCGGAAGGCGUCUCAGGGAUACUGACAGACUAGGGACCGGAAGAGGUGAGAGGUACUCCAGGGGUAGGAGUGAAAUCCUGUAAUCCUUGGGGGACCACCUGUGG